AUUGAACGCUGGCGGCAGGCCUAACACAUGCAAGUCGAGCGAGCGGCGGACGGGUGAGUAAUGUCUGGGAAACUGCCUGAUGGAGGGGGAUAACUACUGGAAACGGUAGCUAAUACCGCAUACCAUCAGAUGUUCCAAGAUGGGAUUAGCUAGUAGGUGGGGUAACGGCUCACCUAGGCGACUAUCCCUAGCUGGUCUGAGAGGAUGACCAGCCACACGGGAACUGAUACACGUUCCAGACUCCUACGGGAGGCAGCAGUGGGGAAGAUUGCACAAUGGGCGCAAGCCUGAUGCAGCCAUGCCGCGUGUGUGAAGAAGGCCUUCGGGUUGUAAAGCACUUUCAGCGGGGAGGCGUUACCCGCAGAAGAAGCACCGGCUAACGCCGUGCCAGCAGCCGCGGUAAUAC
rnacentral:rRNA from 1 species